GCGAACGCUGGCGGCGUGCUUAACACAUGCAAGUCGAACGGAAAGGCCCUGCUUUUGUGGGGUGCUCGAGUGGCGAACGGGUGAGUAACACGUGAGUAACCUGCCCUUGACUUUGGGAUAACUUCAGGAAACUGGGGCUAAUACCGGAUAGGAGCUCCUGCUGCAUGGUGGGGGUUGGAAAGUUUCGGCGGUUGGGGAUGGACUCGCGGCUUAUCAGCUUGUUGGUGGGGUAGUGGCUUACCAAGGCUUUGACGGGUAGCCGGCCUGAGAGGGUGACCGGCCACAUUGGGACUGAGAUACGGCCCAGACUCCUACGGGAGGCAGCAGUGGGGAAUAUUGCACAAUGGGCGGAAGCCUGAUGCAGCAACGCCGCGUGCGGGAUGACGGCCUUCGGGUUGUAAACCGCUUUCGCCUGUGACGAAGCGUGAGUGACGGUAAUGGGUAAAGAAGCACCGGCUAACUACGU
rnacentral:rRNA from 1 species